AUGGAGUUUAGUUUCAUCUCAGUUUUCCUUGUUGCUGUUUUAACAGGUGUCAAGUGUGAAGUGCAGCUGGUGGAGUCUGGGGGAGGCCUGAUGAAGCCUGGGGGGUCUCUGAGACUGUCCUGUACAGUCUCUGGAUUCACCAUCAGUAGUAGAUACUGGAUGCACUGGGUCUGCCAGGCUCCUGGGAAGGCGCUGGACUGAAUCUCAUCAAUUGCUGGUAGUAGCACAUACUAUGCCAACUCUGUGAAGGGCCGAUUCACCAUCUCCAUAGACAAUG